CAUCAGCAGUGUUGCUCAGCUCAGGGGCCGUGUAGGGGAUUACCCCGGCCACCAGCUUGAGCUUGGUACCCUUGGGCCUCGUCAGGCCAAAGUCAGUGAGUUUGACGAGCCGGCAGUCGGGAUCAAAAAGCAGCACGUUCUCAGGCUUGAUGUCGCGGUACACCAGCCCCCGGCUGUGGAUGAACUCCAGCGCGCUCACGAGCUGCUUGGCACACUGCUUUGCGGCCGGCUCAGGAAUCCCAUCCUGGGCAGGGAGAGAGAAAGGCAGGAUGGCACACAUGGGCACCUCAGCAGCCCUGCCAGAGGGGCUCUCACCUCAGUGCCCUGCACUGGGAAAGAUCUUCACGUUUCUCACCUUGCAAGCCCAAGGCUGCUUCAGUGCUGCAGACCCCAGAUAGACCCACAGCCAUUGCCUUUAUCUCCCUCCAUCUGACCCAGCCAGCCUCCAUAGGGGCCAAAUGCUGCAGCCCAAUCCCCAUGGCCUCGUAGCAACACUCACGCGGGGUUUGAUGAUAGAGAUGAGGUCUUUGUGCAGCGCUGGUUCAUAGAGGAAGCCAUAGUACUGGCUGGACUCAAUGGCAAUUCCAAACAUGCCGAUGAUGGCAGGGUGGGUGGCGAGGGACAGUGCGACACAAUACUCAUACAGGAAGGUGUGCAGCUUGGUACUGGCUUUGGGUAGCAGCUUGAGAGCCAUAGGAGUCCCUGGGGAUGGGAAGAGUGGGUUUGAUUCCCGUGGAAGUCACACCAAGGCAAGACAGAGCAGCCACAGAUGCAGGCAGCCACAGCCUCGGGAAGGUCUCUAGUCCAAAGUUUGUGUGGGUAUACCCAGGUUUGGGAACAGGCACUGCUGCUGGUGUGAGUUUUGAGCCCUGGGCAUGCACAGGAGCCCUGGCAGAGUAGAGACAUUCAGGAUAUUUGGGCCCAUCAGUCUGAGCUGGGACUAUUGGGGAAGAGCAGUGUCAGGGCACUCAUACGGCCAAGCCAGGACCUUCAUUCACACCCUCUGUCCAUGGCCACCACUUCAGAUCAGGCUUGGGGCUCUGUGACUCAGCCCUAUGGUGGGACUGCUGUUUCCAUCUAUAUCACAUGCAUGUUGGUGUGUAUUUGUGAACUCUCUUGAUUCUGAUUUAUGGAUUAACUUCCCAGCUUGACCCUGGACCUGUCUUAUCACUAUAAUCUUGCUGGAUGUUCUGGGCUGCCCCCUGGCAUCACCUGGACACUGGCUGGAUGUAAUGAGAUGAUCCCUAGCUGGGGAGGUCCCCAUCCUGUUAGUCUCCCUGGGGAUCCUCCCUGCUAUGCCUGCUGUCUGUCCUCAGCGUGCCACCAACCCACCCCAUGCCCUGUGCCCUGGUGAGUGGAGAGGAGACAAGGCACAGUCAGUUCCUUACCUCUCUGCCUGUGGGUCACUAGCAUCACAUGGCCAUACUUGCCCCUGCCCAGCUCCCGAACAACCUCAUAGUGCUCAGCUACCUCGGCGCGCACCAGGCUCUGAGCAGUGAUCUCCAGAAGCUCCUCCAGCUUGGUUGGUGCUGCUCUCUCUGGCACUGCUGCAGUCACAGCUGAGCUCUCGGCCAUGACUGAGUGCUGCAGGAACACCACAGCCAGAGUCAGGAACAUCACAGCAUGCACAGAGAAAGCCAGAUCAAACAUGCAACACAAACCAUGCCAUGGCAGGGCAUAUUUCUGCCACUUGGAGCCUGAGCACUCUUGCUGCUGUGCUAGAAUUGAAUUUGCACUUUUAUACAGCACAUCUCUGGCAAAGCCCUUCAUCAUAGAAAAGUCUCUGUAUUGAAGGGAACCUCCUCCAGCCCCCUAAUCCUUUUGCCUAAUAUUAAACAACAGGAAAAACAUUAGCAGAGUCCCAGAUUUUCAAGUGUCACCCAGUCAUCCCCUUGCUCUCAUUAGCCUACUGCAGCAAGACCUUAUUUCUCUACUCAGAAUUCCACCUCUACUGCUUACUGGAGAAAGUCCUUGAGCUGGCAGAUGAGACAGAACCUGUCCCUCAGGCACAGGCACAGCUAGCAUGUGACAAAAUGCAGAGUGGCCCAAGGAAGCCAAAGGGAGCUCAGUACCUCACAUGCCUGAUGACAUUUCUGACCAAAAGUCAUGCAUCUGUGCAGCCAAGUAACUUAUACAGGAAGUAACCUGGGACAUCACUGGCAUUUUGAGCUACAGCCAGGUGCUUCAGACCCAUUUCAGAGAAGUGUUUUUUCACUUUUCCCAGACAGCUACAAGGCAGCAUUUUAAGGCCUCUGUGGUAGCACUUUCUCCCUGUCUACCUCCCUGUGCUCUGAACAAGGCAUUUUGGGCCUGGGAGUUCUUCCUGGCCUUGGAGCAAAGUCACAGAACCAGAGUCACAGGAUGGUAAAUGCCAGAAGGUACUUCUGGAGACCUCUUACUGCAACAACCUGCUCAGAGGAGGAUUAACUAGAGGAGGUUGUCUGGUGUCCAGCCCAGUUUUAAAUAUCUAUAAGGAUGGAGACUCCGUAGCUGCUGUGGGUAACCUGUUUCAGUGUCCAAUCACCCUUGUGAUAAAAAGAUUUUAAUUUAUGCUUAAAUAGAAAUUCUGUUUCAGGCCCACUACCUCUUGUUCUGUCACUCAGUAUCAUUUGAUACUGUGAUACACCUGGUUGUGUGUUUUUGCAGGUGUUCAUAUGCAUCAAUCAGAUGAUCCUCUCAAGCCUUCUGUUCUUGAGGCUGAUGAAGUCCCAGCUCUGUUAGCCUCUCCUCCUGUGAGAGAUACUCCCAUAUCUUAACUGUCUUCACAGUCUGGAUUUGUUCCAGUAUGUUCACAUCUCUCUUCUGCAAAGGAACCCCACUGCUGCUAAAUACAGUCAUGCUUCAAAAUAAAGAAAUUUGUAAAAAAAGAAUCACGUAAACCACAAGGCUGGAUUUCGAUAGGACCCUGGGACUAUUUGUGGGGAAAUUCCUCUUCUCUUCCCUUCCAUCUCUCCUAGAUUGCAUUUCUAAAUCUUAUCCAAUUCAGAAGUGCCAAGUAAUUGGCCCUACUUUUCUGCAAGAGUAGAGCAAUAAAAUGAAUGAGCCAGCUUGGAAGACCAGAUCAUCCAGAGGAUAUGGGUAGAGUUUCUUGAGGGCCUGUGACCUGUGAGUCUGAUCAGGGCUCCUUAUGGAGGAAGCCCCAGCUGCAGUCACUCCAGAACAGUUUGCAGACUUUUUGGCCCUCGCUGCCCUUGGAGUCAUUAACUACAAGAGGAAGUCCAUACUCGAGAAAACAGCUGAUGUUGAUAGGUCUUUCUUUGAGAUGCCACUGUGAUUAGCUAGGAAGAUUGACAAGCACUGAAGAGGAGGUCACCAGGGCCCUGGCCAGGAUGCAUUCACCAUUUGGCUGUGCUGUACUGAAGGCAGCAGGCAGAGUCCUAUUCAAACCUGUUUUUUCCUCCACUAUCCUUUCCAUGCUUCAUCCCUGCUAGAGUUCUUGUUUCCAGGCUGCUGACUGUGAGAAACUGUAAUUCCUCAAAAGAAUCUCUAAUUACAGCAGCAAAAAGCUCACAUCCUUUACAACAUCACGAGAUACUUCUGAACCACCUGAGAAACUGUUGGGGAUCUAACCUAUGGAAAUGCAAUGUCUUAGUUCAGGUAAUAUUAUUCUGGUUCUUCAACCAAAAUGAUUAAUAUAUUUAGUGCAGAAAAGCACUUCAUACAUGUCAAAAGCCAAAGACAGUGUGAUCCCUGUAUAACAGAGACAGUGCUAUGAUAACAAAAUCACAGGUGUGUUUCGGUUGGAAGGGACCUCUUGAGAUCAUCUAAUCCAAGCCCCUGGCUCAAGCUGGAGCAACUGAAGCAGGCUGUCUAGGAAGGUGUUUAGCCAGGUCUUCAAUAUCUCCAUAGAUGGUGACUCCUCUCAAAGAUCACUGCUUAGAAGAUUCUGGCUCCCUUUUCUUCAUUAUCCCUCAUCAGAUAUUUAUAUACACCAAUAAGAUCCCAUCUGAGCCUUCUCUUUUUCAAGCUGAAGAGUUUCAGCUGUUUCAGCCUCUUCUCAUAUCAAAGAUACUCUAUUAAAAAUGGCCUUGAGCGUAUGGCAUGUGGGGUCCACUUUCUUGUCUGACCUUCUACAGGGCCUUAACACAAACCAAAUAACAAAUAGCAUCUGGGGCACCUCUUUCAAAAAGUCAUUCAGGCUUGAUCCAAAGACAGUGGGUCAAUUAUAAAUGCUGGUGUGAACAUUCUUGCUGUUAGGUUUUCAUAUGAUAACCUAAUCUGAAUUUACCUAACCUGCUGCUGCAGUUUCUCAGAUAGAGAAAUGAGGUUUCUAAUACCUGUUAAAUUUCUCCAGACUCUUGCAGUGUUUAUAUGCACUGUGGUCAGAGGUAUGACCACAGGCUAUGAGAACAUAUUUUCAAUUAAUUAGGUUGUGUAAAAUUAAGGCUGAAGCUCAGGCUAUGCAUUUAACUGAUGCUUUACUUAGGCUCCACAAAGCAUCUGUCACACUGUGCUUCUGUAGUGCCUGCAUCAGUUAGUUAAAAAACAGAUGUGAUGCUGCCACAAAAUGUGGUCACAUUUUGAAUUGAGAAUAAGCAUCUCUGUGCUCUCUGAUCAAGACACCUCUCACAUUUCUUAUUGGUUUAAUGCCUUCAAAUAACUUUUUGUCUAAUCGUCAAACCAAGCUCUCAGAUUGUCCAGCCUGCUUGUUCGGCUCUCAGAUCUGUUUCAUGGCUCUUUUUUAAAGCCUCAUCAUUUUUCUCCUCCCAUCCCACACAUUAAAACCCAACUGUCUUGGGGGGAAUGCCUCCUGUCACACAUUGACUAGAAUUCCCCCCUGCCUCAUGCUGUGGCCUCAAGAUCUCUUUUUGCAGGAAUGACACACAGGCUGCACUACCUUAUACAUCCAUUAUGAGUCCAGAGUUUUUCCAAAUUACUGGUGAAUGUUGGGGAAGAAAUUAACUGCCUCUUCAUGUCCCUUUAUGGGUACUGCCUAACUGGUUUCUACAUGAAUAUUUUUGCACCAUGUUUAGUAAAGCACAUCUUUCUCAAAUGUAUUUAGUGUACCUCAAGUAACUCAGAUCAUUUCACCCAGUUGCUAUCACACUUCUGCUUAGGGGCUCUGUAAGGAUCCCACCUGCAGGCAUCUCCCACUUCUAAAUUUUUGGUUUGAAGCAGUUCUCAUCCUGGUAUUGGUUCAUAUAGCACCUGCCAGAAAUGUCCCAUUCACCGGUCAUUUCCUGAAAGUUAUCUGUACAAAUUCAUCCUGGCAUUGGUCUAAACCAAGAAGCCACACAUUUUUAAUUAAUUAUUUAAAAGCCCAGUAUAUAGUGGAAAACACCAUAUUUUAUUGUUGUUCUCACCCUACACAAUUAUUAUUUUUUCCAAUCCUAACUCUGUCAUAAUACUUUUGCUUUUCUCAAUGGUCUAGAAGAAAAUACUGAAAUCGUCCAGAAAAAUAUUUGCAAAUGGCACAAAAAGGGUUUGGGUAGACAAUGUGUUGCUUGGUAAAACUAGUGCAUGCACAUACACAGAUACAAAAGCAUUCCAAAUGACCAAAGCAGUCAGGAUUUUAGUCUGGCAUUGGAUGGGUGACAGGGGGAAAAAAAAGUCAUAUUAAUCAGACACAUCCAGGUUCUUCAUGCUGCUUAAUGGGCAGUAUAUAAAUCCAGAAAUGUACAUCUGGUAUAGCCUCACUACCUUUGCAGGCCUUAAGACAUUGGAUGAUAGAGAAUUGCAGUAGAAAUAAUCUACAGUGAUAUAGAUACACAUCUUAGUGUUACAGAUACAAGUCUAACAGCAUAGCAAGAGCAGAACAAGGGUUACUGAUGCUACAGAUUCCACUUUUGCAUUCAUUCUGGUAAAGAGAAUGCCUGAAAAGAUUCAAAUGCAGGAAACAUCAGCAGUGAGAGGCAAACUAACAUUUUCCAGAUGCUAAAUUAAGAAAGUAAGCAUCACCGUAAACAAAACAAAACAAAGAAGAAAAAAAAAAUAAGAGACAGCUGUUCCAUUUCACGUAGGCUGAGAUGGUUGUAACAAAAGAAGAGAUCUGUUCUGAGGCAAUGUGCCUCUUACAGUGAACUCCAGUUUCUGCAGAGGUUCCUACAUACAGAUGCAAUGAGACAGUCUGAAAUUUAAUCUUCAAAAAUCAGCUGAGUUAGGGAAGCUGUAUUUCUGAAGAGCUGACCACCUGUUAACAGCUUCUGCACUACAAUUCAGAAUAUCACACACCAGUGGAAUUUGUAUUUUUAUAAUAAAUUUAUUUUUUCGUUUGC